AGUGAACGCUGGCGGCGUGCCUAAUACAUGCAAGUCGAACGGAGUGGCGCACGGGUGAGUAAUGUAUAGCUAAUCUGCCCUACACUAGAGGACAACAGUUGGAAACGGCUGCUAAUACUCUAUAGUGUAGGAUGAGGCUAUAUUGUAUCAUCUAUUUGGUGAGGUAAUGGCGCACCAAGGGUAUGACGCAUAACUGGUCUGAGAGGAUGAUCAGUCACACUGGAACUGAGACACGGGCCGGACUCCUACGGGAAGCAGCAGAAGGGAAUAUUGCACAAUGGGGGAAACCCUGAAGCAGCAACGCCGCGUGGAGGAUGACACUUAUCGGAGCGUAAACUCCUUUUGUUAGGGAAGAGGGACCGAAAGAAUAAGCACCGGCUAACUCCGUGCCAGCAGCCGCGGUAAUAG
rnacentral:rRNA from 1 species